GUGUCAGCCGCCGCGGUAAUACGUAGGUGGCAAGCGUUGUCCGGAUUUAUUGGGUUUAAAGGGUGCGUAGGCGGUCCUAUAAGUCAGUGCUGAAAUAUCCCGGCUUAACCGGGAGGGUGGCAUUGAUACUGCAGGACUUGAGUAGAGUUGAGGUUGGCGGAAUUGACGGUGUAGCGGUGAAAUGCUUAGAUAUCGUCAAGAACACCGAUAGUGAAGACAGCUAACUAAGCUCUAACUGACGCUGAGGCACGAAAGUGUGGGGAUCAAACAGGAUUAGAUACCCCAGUAGUCC
rnacentral:rRNA from 1 species